UAUAACACCGAGAGCCUUCUUUUUCUUCCUCCUUGUGUUGCUUCAUUCUCUAGCUCUCUGUUCUCUAUGCCUCCCUUUAUCUGCUCUCUUUCUCUCUUUGUGCUCUCUUUGUCGCUGUGGUCUCUCUCUCUCUUUCUCUCUCACUAUGCGCUUUCUCUCUCCUUGUGCUCUCUCUUCCCCAAUAAUCAAGGGUUAGAGUGAUCCAGCGUUAAAGAUACCCAGGCGAUCAUUACCGACUCGGCUGCCAGCCUUACCACAUCUGCUUCAUUAGGCCAGGUGCCUCAAUCUAUUGGGCGUGUUCACAGCCAGAGACGGCACAAGGUUUUGCCAGCCCCAACCCCCAUGUUGACACUGUUGAGGCCGAUGCCAAUUCUGUCGCCGUGCACCCAAGGGAAACUGAGCUGGGAAGAAGUUCAAGAUGCAGGGGAGUUUUAGAGGCUUGUAUUCGAACUGGAUCGCUCGUUAUAACGCAAAAUAAGAUCGUUGUCGAUUACAACCAACUGCAUUGGCGAGCGAACUUAGAGGUCAACAACUUGUUGACUCAUGACAUUGUUGCCAUCAUUCACACCAAGUACCCCAUGCUCUCCUCUUCAUGGAAAAACUUUUCCCUUGAGAUGCGAAAGGAGAUGAUGAGACAGAUCUCGGCCAGGUGCCUCAAUCUAUUGGGCGUGUUCAUAGCCAGAGAAGGCACAAGGUUUUGCCAGCCCCAACCCCCAUGUUGACACUGCUGAGGCCGAUGCCAAUUCUGUCGCCGUGCACCCAAGGGAAACUGAGCUGGGAAGAAGUUCAAGAUGCAUGGGAGUUUUAGAGGCUUGUAUUCGAACUGGAUCGCUCGUUAUAACGCAAAAUAAGAUCGUUGUCGAUUACAACCAACUGCAUUGGCGAGCGAACUUAGAGGUCAACAGCUUGUUGACUCAUGACAUUGUUGCCAUCAUUCACACCAAGUACCCCAUGCUCUCCUCUUCAUGGAAAAACUUUUCCCUUGAGAUGCGAAAGGAGAUGAUGAGACAGAUCUCGGAGAGGAAGUACGAGCUGCACGUGUACUACUAGACGUGUGCAUCUCCUGCUAAAGCUCUUACCGAUCUACCCCUAGAGUUUGUGGAGAGGAUGGUCGAGUGGGAGUCGUUGUGCAUUUUCAGAGAUCAGAAUUUCGGAAAUCAGGGGCAAAUAAGGCUAAUCAGGAAGCGAAGCCGUACCUUCAUCGCUCUCAUUCUUAACCCCUCACUUAUAGGGUCGAAGAACAGUGUAAGAAAGGCUUCUAUGUUGCAGAAAAAAGAUGAGUAUCUCGCCAACCUUUCUUAGCAGCAACCAGACAUGCCAAUAGAGGAGCUGACAUCUGAUCCAAAGAUGUUUCUACAGUUGUUGAUCGACGGAGUUGGGCGACAAAAAGGCAAGGAGAUACACGACUUAAGAGCGGGCCAGGUUGGGGCCCUCAGACUCUAGGCGGGACGUCUUCCAGACUCCAGUAGAUGGAGAUGAAGUUAGUGACCUACCCCAGCGAGAAGAAAAAGCUUGAAAAGAAGCUCAGGAAGAAGCGCAUCGCUAGUGAUGGGAGGAGUUUCGGUGACAUAUUGAUGCAAUUGCCUAAGCAAUGACAGCUUUUGUUAUUCACCUUCCUGAUCCUCCGAGCGACCUUUUCAGCCGCCAUCCCACCAGCCACCCUAGUGGUAGUUAGUUUAGGAUAUUUUACAUAAAUUUGUACGAAUAUUUCAGUUUUAGUGUAAUUAAACAUACUUUUUAACAUUAUGGUUUAUUUAGAUUUUUUAA